CACGUAGUUAGUCGGUGCUUAUUCUUCCGGUACCGUCAUCCCCCGACUGUAUUAGAGCCAAGGAUUUCUUUCCGGACAAAAGUGCUUUACAACCCGAAGGCCUUCUUCACACACGCGGCAUUGCUGGAUCAGGCUUUCGCCCAUUGUCCAAAAUUCCCCACUGCUGCCUCCCGUAGGAGUCUGGGCCGUGUCUCAGUCCCAGUGUGGCUGGUCGUCCUCUCAGACCAGCUACUGAUCGUCGCCUUGGUAGGCCUUUACCCCACCAACUAGCUAAUCAGCCAUCGGCCAACCCUAUAGCGCGAGGCCCGAAGGUCCCCCGCUUUCAUCCGUAGAUCGUAUGCGGUAUUAAUCCGGCUUUCGCCGGGCUACUCCCCCACUACAGGACAUGUUCCGAUGUAUUACUCACCCGUUCGCCACUCCGCCACCAGGUGCAAGCCACCGUGCUGCCGUUCGACUUGCAUGUGUAAGGCAGUGCCCGCCAGCCGUUACAACUUCUAGACGCAGGAUCAAAACUUCUACCG
rnacentral:rRNA from 1 species